UGGGUCUACGCAGUGAAGUACAAGGUAGGAAGCCACAAAAACCAAUCUGCAGCUAAUUGAAUCAGAAAUCUAUGAAAGGUACAGUGCAGACUGAAGAAGAUGACUGAGAGGCUUCAUAAUGAGGAACAGCACCCAAAAUCACGCUGCGGAACAGCUCUCAGAGAACAGCACUGCAGUGACAGAGACGGCACCACUGCAGCACCAGCGCCGGUGCAGGACUGGAUGCUCAUGCACAUCUCAGGCCUCCAGAUGCCCGCGACCUUCUCCCCUUCAGCCUCUUCCAUAACCACACUACUCCUUUCCUCCAUCGGCUUCUCCCCUGACUGCACAGAAGCCCAUUUCCCCACCAUGACGAAAAAAAACCUUUCCCAGAUCUAAGGCAAAGGGAAAAACAUACAAGACAGAAUGUAAAUUUGUGCUGCCAGGGGCUGGGAAAGGAGGGGAUGGGGAGUGACUGAUGAAUGGGUAUGGGCUCUCCUUCCGGAGUGAUCAAAAAGUGUUCUGGAACUAGAGUGGUAAAGAAGGUACGACCUCGUAAAUGUACUAAAUGUCAGUAAUGAUAAAUUGUAUGUUACAUGUUACCACCAAAACAACAAAAACAUCUCUGGCCUCCCUCAGAUUCCACGAUAUUACUCAGUACUUUUGUUCUCUCUCCUCUCCCCUCCCUCCCUAGCUUCCUUCUCUUCCAAGCCUGAAAUGCAAACAUUUUCCUCCUCC
rnacentral:lncRNA from 1 species